CCUACGGGUGGCAGCAGUGGGGAAUAUUGCACAAUGGGGGAAACCCUGAUGCAGCGAUGCCGCGUGGAGGAAGAAGGUUUUCGGAUUGUAAACUCCUUUUAUCAGGGACGAUAAUGACGGUACCUGAAGAAAAAGCUCCGGCUAACUACGUGCCAGCAGCCGCGGUAAUACGUAGGGAGCGAGCGUUGUCCGGAUUUACUGGGUGUAAAGGGAGCGUAGGCGGGACGGCAAGUCAGAGGUGAAAACAGAGGGCUCAACCUUCAGACUGCAUUUGAAACUGUUGGUCUUGAGUGAAGUAGGGGUAAGCGGAAUGCCUGGUGUAGCGGUGAAAUGCGUAGAGAUUAGACGGAACAUCGAUGGCGAAGGCAGCUUACUGGGCUUUUACUGACGCUGAGGCUCGAAAGCGUGGGGAGCAAACAGGAUUAGAUACCCGUGUAGUC
rnacentral:rRNA from 1 species